AUAUGAAUUACUUGGGGAGCUUGUUAAAAUGCAGAUUCUAAACUAAUAGGUCUGGUUGGAGCCUGAGAUUCUGCAUUUCUAAUAAACUCUUAGGUGAUGCUGAU
rnacentral:pre_miRNA from 1 species